CCUACGGGGGACUGCAGUGGGGAAUAUUGGGCAAUGGGCGCAAGCCUGACCCAGCAACGCCGCGUGAAGGAAGAAGGCUUUCGGGUUGUAAACUUCUUUUCUCAGGGACGAAGAAAGUGACGGUACAUGAGGAAUAAGCCACGGCGAACUACGUGCCAGCCGCCGCGGUAAUACGGAGGGGGCAAGUGUUAUCCGUAUUUAGUGGGUGUAAGGGCCGUGUAGGCGGGAGCGCAAGUCAGUUGUGAAACCUCAGGGCGCAACCCUGGUCCUGCAUUUGAAACUGUGUUGCUUGAGUGCUGGAGAGGCAGGCGGAAUUCCGUGGGUAGCGGUGAAAUGCGUAGAUAUACGGAGGAACACCAGUGGCGAAGGCGGAUUGCUGGACAGUAACUGACGCUGAGGCGCGAAGGCGUGGGGAGCAAACAGGAUUAGAUACCCCAGUAGUC
rnacentral:rRNA from 1 species